GUAGGUGGCAAGCGUUGUCCGGAAUUAUUGGGCGUAAAGCGCGCGCAGGCGGUCCUUUAAGUCUGAUGUGAAAGCCCACGGCUCAACCGUGGAGGGUCAUUGGAAACUGGGGGACUUGAGUACAGAAGAGGAAAGCGGAAUUCCAAGUGUAGCGGUGAAAUGCGUAGAGAUUUGGAGGAACACCAGUGGCGAAGGCGGCUUUCUGGUCUGUAACUGACGCUGAGGCGCGAAAGCGUGGGGAGCAAACAGGAUUAGAUACCCUGGUAGUCCACGCCGUAAACGAUGAGUGCUAAGUGUUAGGGGUUUCCGCCCCCUUAGUGCUGCAGCUAACGCAUUAAGCACUCCGCCUGGGGAGUACGGCCGCAAGGCUA
rnacentral:rRNA from 1 species